CUCUGUAUAAUAGUAUAAACUACCGUGUUUAGGAAUUUUUCCUCUUUCUUCGCGAAUUUUUUUAUGUUAGACAAGCUGUUUGGUUCCAAUAUCUUGCAGAAAGUUGCGCCACUGAUACAAAUCUUCUACCAUGGAUGGUACUGAAGACGGUUACGGAUUUCAUUGUUCUUUCUGAUGUCUUUUAUUGAAAAAAGCUUACUUUUUGAUGCUUUGUGAACCCUGGCAAUCUUACUUAGAAUGUUUCUUAGCAAUCUUCUGUUUCAAGGCCCUGUUGAUUAAUUUUGAUUCGAAUUAGAGGGAAGUAUCAUUAAAGUUUGAAUUUUUACUAUUGGAUGCGUUGUGACUAUGUGGUAUUUAUUUUGAAGAGGAUACCAAGGACCCAUUUCAUGAUAUCUCUUUGACGGACUCGACGGAGAACUCUUGUUCAUCCAGUGUCCCAUGAACGAAUUAAUAUCUCUUUGACCCACUCAACGGAGAGCUCUGGCUCUUAUUAUCUUGUAUAUUUUCUGUGUGGACUUAUCUGCAGGGAAGUCGUAUGAUGUCGUUGGCUUUGAUGUUCAAGAGCAUUAUGUGCUUCAGUGUGCUAAUUGCAUAUAAUCAAGUGUCAUCAAAUUAACAUAUUCCUUAAUCUUUUAAAUGUGCUUCAGUGGGGAAUAUUUCACGCAGAGUUUGUUUAGUUCGAUAUCCAGAGCCCAGUGAAUUUGAGAAACAUGUUUUCAGUCAUCUCAACUUGAGCAGUCGAAGAUCUGAGGGUAAUGCCUUCCAUGCUAGUUUCUUUCUUUGUUGCGUAUUUUAACUCCGAUAAACUUAUAUUGUUGAAUGUCCUAAACUGCUAGUCAUUCAAACGCCACCUUUCCUCGUGCAUGAUGGCACAUGGUUGUUGGAAAAGGAACCUCUGUUACAGUGUGUGCACAACUUCUUAGCAUCAUACAGCCUUCAGUUGGCUGAACAUGAUUGACUCUUGUUUCAAGGUGUCUGUGGUCGAAAAGUUCAUGCCACAACAUUUUUGUAAUAUAGUUGUUAUUAUUAUGUCUCGGAUUCCAUGCGAAAGAGUAGGUCCUGUUCCAGGGAGUUUGGAAGCAUGUCUCAUGAUACCUUUAACUUCAGCACAUAGCCUUGGACAAGGAAGUGUGGAAUUCUCACAGCAUUCCAAGAAGAAGAGAUGUGAGGACAGUGCACUGAACUCUGAUACAUCUAUGAGGUCCAUAGAAUGAUCUUCUCAUGCUUCUGGUCCAGAAAGCCAGAUCACCAGUACUUCAUUAGGAUCCAAGCAAUCAAAGAAGAAAAAGAAGGAGAAGAAGAUCAUAGUCAGGAGUAGAUACUUGUUGCACACUGAAGCCUAGGAAAGUUUGGAGAUGUUUCAAGCGCGACUCUUAAGAGCUUACAAGCCAGAAUUUCUCAGCCAUUCAGAUAUUGUACCUGGCCUUUUGUUGCAUACAGGUUUUGUUUUAUUUUUGUCAUUAGUGAGAUAAUUCGCUACUAAAGCACACCUGGAAUGAUCAAAUGCCAGUUGAUUUCUUUUAUCAAAGCUAGAACAGGAAUUUGGAGCUCUCAAGAGCAUUAAUAAUGUUUAUCAAAUGUUCAUGAUAUUGCUUAAGAUGACAAAUAUCAGCGACAUUGACUGUUUUUUCUUAUGGUUAGUUGCUUUUGGAGUGAAGUUCAUAUCAGUAACCUUGAUCUGCACAAGUUUUAAUGACAAGCUCUUCAAUGCCAAUGAGGAAAGAAGUUUCACUUGUAGUGGGUGAAUAUGCAUGCCCUUUGUAAUUAUUCUAUAAUAUGUAGUUUCAUGAAUGAAAAAUCAUUAUAUCUGUGCACAAUGCAGUCCCUUUCCUUUAACAUUGCAUCCCUAAGACUGCAGAUACUGGAUCGAACCUGAGAUGCAAAACUGGCAGCAUAUGCUUCCUUCAGGUACUCGAGAAUACUUAUUCCCCAAUCCUCGAUCUAUUUCUUGUUCUAGGAACGAUGGAUUCACCAUCUGUCACAGAAAAUUGAAUGACCUUCAGAAGGUUUUUGAGGGAAGUAGGUGAUUUCCAUCCUGAGAACCUGAGAAGAGUUGCAUAGAACUAUUAGAUCACUACAUGUGCAUUUCUAGUUCAUUCAAGUUCAUUAUACAGCUUUACUUGCCUCAAAUGGCAUUGAUUCGGAAAAUUUGAUGUGCAAAUGUUUGCAAAGGAACUCAUUAACCUCUCAUAGUUCUCAGCUGACAGGCAUAUAUUUUGUCAUUCAGAUCAUAUGAUAGUUGAAUUUUAUUUCUUGGUUUUAUCUUCUUGAUCACUGAAAUUUGCAUUUGUUGCUUGUUUAACAGAAACCUCACAACUUGAAAUUGGAAACAUAAGUACAUUAACUUAUUCUGUUGUUACAGAUGACAGUACAUUAUGAAUACUAAUAUU